UUCAAUGCGGGUCCACAGAUCAUUUCAUCUGAGAUUGUCCAAAAAGUGAAUGUGCUAUACCUACAUCAUCUCAGAUAUCAAUGCCUACUACUAGAGGCAGAGGGUUAGGUAGAGGUAGUUCGGUAUCCAGAGGUGAAGGUGUUCGUAGAAGUAGUAACAUAGUUACACAACAGUCAGAGGCAAGAGCACCAGCCAGGGCCUAUGUAGUUCGGAC
rnacentral:lncRNA from 1 species